ACCCUGGUGGACUAGUGGCUAGCAUGCGGCGCUCUCAUCGCCAUGGCCCGGGUUCGAUUUCCACUCAGGGAA